AGUGAACGCUGGCGGUAGGCCUAACACAUGCAAGUCGAACGGCAGCACAGUAAGAGCUUGCUCUUACGGGUGGCGAGUGGCGGACGGGUGAGGAAUACAUCGGAAUCUACUUUUUCGUGGGGGAUAACGUAGGGAAACUUACGCUAAUACCGCAUACGACCUACGGGUGAAAGCAGGGGAUCUUCGGACCUUGCGCGAUUGAAUGAGCCGAUGUCGGAUUAGCUAGUUGGCGGGGUAAAGGCCCACCAAGGCGACGAUCCGUAGCUGGUCUGAGAGGAUGAUCAGCCACACUGGAACUGAGACACGGUCCAGACUCCUACGGGAGGCAGCAGUGGGGAAUAUUGGACAAUGGGCGCAGGCCUGAUCCAGCCAUACCGCGUGGGUGAAGAAGGCCUUCGGGUUGUAAAGCCCUUUUGUUGGGAAAGAAAAGCAGUAGGUUAAUACCCCGCUGUUCUGACGGUACCCAAAGAAUAAGCACCGGCUAACUUCGUG
rnacentral:rRNA from 1 species